CUGAGAUGAAGUCAAUGGAAAGACUCACCCUGAAUUCAGCUCAUCUGGCUCAGGACCCUGGCCAUGCAACUGGGGGAUGCACAGCCUCUCCUAGGUCAGCCCACUCAAGAAAUACAUAAUCAAAUGCCUUGCUCUAACAUGAGACAGCACAGAAGCCUAUCAUUCCAAUAUCUUCAGUGGACCCUGAUCAAAAACUUGAGGCUAAAUGCAUUAGACGGAUACACGAUCAUCCAGAAACCAUUAAAUCUUCCUUUUGAGAUGAGACUCUGUGGCUAGAGUUUCAUUCUUAUCUCCCCUUCUGAUCGGAGGAGGAAGUUCUGCUACAGAGAUUCUGUCUCAAAACCUUCCACCAGCAUUGCCUUCUGCAGAAGAAAGUGUAUUCUCCUCUCUGCGCCCCUGUGGCACCCAAAUACCCCACUAAAACAAGCAUCAGUCUCUAUGUUUCCUCUCUUGGGAGUGGUCACACUUGCAGUAAACAAGCUAAAGUGCUGAUCUGCUGUGGCAGAGCCUUGAUCCUGGCAACAUCCCAGACAUCACUGGGCAAUUUGGUUUGAAGCCAUGGUUGCAGGUGUGGUUUGAAGCCAUCCUCUUUAGGGGAGGAACCUUGUUCUUGCAUUGUCUAGUGGAGGAUGCACUGCAGUAAGGUUGGGGAGGACAGUAGAAGUUAAAGGAGGGCUUUCAUACUGAUGAAACAAGUUGAUCAGUAUGAUACCAUAGACUAGAUAGUCUUCUGACUACCCUGUGAUUUGUCACCACUUAUCCUGUUACCCCAUUUGUUUGACUUAAUGUCUUGUCCUCCUAACAGUAGCCCUUGAACUCUCUCAUACCUUUUAUCCAUUUUAACCUUAGGGGUUGGGAGAAAAGGAAGGGAAAGGGCUUGUUAGAAAGUAAAACAUGAGGUAGGAUUAGAGGCUGGUGGAAAUGGCCAGUCCAACCCUACCAUCAGGAACAGAUGAGGAACUGGAAUUUGAGUGAAGUUACCAGUUCUUGUUUUUGGGAAAAUACUAGUAUUGGUAUGCCUCCUACAUCUACCUGACAGCUUUUUCAAGACUUAGGAGUUCAGUAUCU